ACCCAGACUCCUACGGGAGGCAGCAGUGGGGAAUAUUGCACAAUGGGGGAAACCCUGAUGCAGCGACGCCGCGUGAGUGAAGAAGUAUUUCGGUACGUAAAGCUCUAUCAGCAGGGAAGAAAAAAAGUCCUUUGGACUUUGGACGGUACCUGACCAAGAAGCCCCGGCUAACUCCGUGCCAGCAGCCGCGGUAAUACGGAGGAUGCGAGCGUUAUCCGGAUUUAUUGGGUUUAAAGGGUGCGCAGGCGGAUUUUUAAGUCAGCGGUAAAAUCGUGGGGCUCAACCCCAUCCAGCCGUUGAAACUGGGGAUCCAGAGUGUGCGAGAGGUAUGCGGAAUGCGUGGUGUAGCGGUGAAAUGCAUAGAUAUCACGCAGAACUCCGAUUGCGAAGGCAGCAUACCGGCGCGCAACUGACGCUCAUGCACUAAAGUGUGGGUAUCGAACAGGAUUAGAUACCCGAGUAUAG
rnacentral:rRNA from 1 species